rnacentral:lncRNA from 1 species
AAAAGAAGUGCGAUGAUUCCUAAAAACUCCUGACAUACAGGAAUGAAGAGUAACACCACUCGGAAGGCGGAGAGAGAAGAUGAUCAGUGCAGGAGCCCUGGAGGAAACCCGCGUUGGUGACGGGAGGAUAGUACUGGAACCUAACCCUGAGACCACCAGCAUACCCCAUCAACAUGGACUUCUCCACCAGGAUGGACAAACCUGGCUCAUAGAAAUGGGAAACUGGGAUAUGAACAUGAGAAGUCUAGCCCCAAAGAAAC